UCAGGUUCCUGUUGUGCUUGGAGCGGAGCGGUUACAGGUCUCAGAGGAAUUACAGAGGGGAGUGGGGGCAGUGAACAUGUCUUCAAGGAGCUUUCGGAAACGUGUAGCAUCCUGGACGACGACCAGCGAGGCAGGAAGGCUGUUCCAUUCGAGUGCUGUCUUAGGAAGGAAUGAGUUGUAAAAAUGGUUUGUGCGGCUGAACGGCAGUUUUCCGCGCCAUGGACACGUUCCCUCAAGUGUGCAC